GGAAGAAAGUGGGGCGGCUCCUAGGUAGCCAGAAGAAGAGGGGGGCAACGUGCCUUCCGUUUUAAACAGAAUUAGGAACGCCUCAGAGCAGAAGAGGAACAUAGUUUGGUCUCCAUUUUAUUGCAAAUUACGGUCGUGGAUCCACGUCUCCGCCCAAGUCAGACAAUUCGUACCUCCAAGCAAAAUGUGACCGCAUCCUCCAGAUCAAAGCUCCUGCAAAAGGAUGCCCGAUAAAGAAGAUUUUAGGUACAUGGCAGUUACGGCUUACGCGCCCCUGCAAUCUGUUCUUUCUGAGGAAGCCAGCCAGCAAGCAUCUGCGUGCAGGCCCAGCACUUAGUCUUUGCAGAGGGAGUUCAGGGUGGAGAAGAAAUGCAGUGAUAGCGGGUCCCCAUUUAUCCUGGGGCCGUGCGUCCGUUUGAUCGCAGCGAACGUCGCGGUGAGGGACAUCCAUCCCGGGUGGAACGUGCGCAGGCCGAUUUAACACCACACCGAAGCAAGACACCAUUAAUCUAGGCCCGCAAGGGAGUCAACAUUAGAUCUCCCGAGAGCCCAGAAGAGAAGAAGGCUCAAAGCAAGGCGUUCUAAAGCAGCAGCAGGAAUAGCGUGGGCUUUAAGUAAACUGUGGGUUUUGUUAGAAAUAUGUUUGGUCCUCUUUUAAUAGUUAACCUGACCCCAGCUCAGGAAUCCAAGAUACUGAGUAGUCUAUUGUGCACCUGGACCAAACUUUCAAAACCUUAAUUACUUAUAAUCUUGGUUUCAGUAAUAAUCUCAGUAAUGCUGGUCUAACCUUCCUCUUUCACUGCUCCCAGAUGCUCCACACCAACAUCUAUCUUAUCUCCAGCAGGACGCUUCUGGGUUUUUUUUUAUGAUUUCAAAACAUAGCUUGAAAAUGUCUCCAUUUUAUCUCGGAGCAGAAGCAGUGUCAUUUGCCAGCCCAAAUGUUCUCAGUCACAGUUUCCCUGCUCACUCGGGGGCCACGGCUGCUUCUUUCAGCCCGGCCAGCCUCCUGCUGAGACAGAAAUACAACUCAUUUAGGUCAAUGAUUAAAUUGAAAGUUAUAAUAUCACUAAUUAAGUGCGAGCAAAGAGAGAACCGAAAGGCAAACCCCCAAACAAACAAACAAAUAAACAGGUUCUUUGAGAGGGUCGCCGCGGCACCUGUGCUCCCAAACGGUACCCCCUCUACGCCCCCACCCGAAAGCAGAAAGUCUCAGGAAAGCCUUUGAGAAGGCCUCCCCUGUGCCUUGUCACUAGGGUCUCCGCUUUCAAUCUCAGAACAACCACUUAUUGUCU